GUUGGGUUUAUUAAUCUAAACUCGGUAUAAUUCCCCAGAAUCAUGGAUGCUGCUGGAUAUGGCAAGGUGACACAAUCGUUGGUGCAUGGCUGGAGAAUCUGCAGAAUCAUUAAGAGAAUAAAUCUUACGUUCAUUUAGGCUUAUCUUUGGCUCUAGUUUAUUUCUUUCCUACUUUCAUGGGAUAUCAUAUAUCUCUUUUCCUUUAUAUUGUAAUCGUCUUUCAUAAUAAUAAAGUGGUGGUUUCAGAGUAAACUUUGUUCUUCUCCUAGUACAAAUACAUUGCAGAUUGUAUUUCUCGAUAAUCUGGUAUCAGAGCUUGGUCACGAGUUGAUGCCCAAGUACAUGCCUAGAGCAUUACAGAUGGAGACAGACAAGAACAACGAAGGAAGGAUCCAGUUAAACUACCCCAUGUUGACUCGAGCAAAUUAUACGGCUUGGGCUAUGAAGAUGAAGGUGUAUAUGCAGGCCCACAGUGUUUGGGAGGCUAUAUCACCAAAGGAUCCUAAGGCAACGGAGGUUGAUGAGAAGAAAGACAAGGUCGCGUUGGCGGCAAUAUACCAGGCUAUUCCGGAGGACGUACUCCUCUCGAUUGCAGACAAGGAAUCAGCCAAGGGAGCGUGGGAGGCUAUCAAAACACUGUGUCAAGGUGCUGAUAGAGCCAAGACGGCAAAAAUACAAACCCUCAAGGCAGAGUUUGAGUCUAUGACUAUGCAGGACACAGACUCAAUAGACGACUUCACCAUGAAAUUGAACGGAUUGGUGACCAACAUACGCUCACUGGGAGAAACUGUUGCAGAAAGCUAUGUCGUCAAAAAGAUCUUAAGAGCAGCCCCUUCGAAAUUUUUACAAAUCGCCUCCACUAUAGAACAGUUUGGAAAUAUCGAGAAAAUGACUGUGGAAGAAACGGUGGGAUCACUGAAGGCUCAUGAAGAAAGAAUCAAGGGACAAACUGAGACAAAGGAGGGAAAGUUACUUCUCACCAGGGAGGAGUGGGUCGAAAGAGAAAAAGAAGAGAGCAAGCUAUUGCUUACAAAAGAGGAAUGGAUGAAACGUUCAGUCAAAGGAAACGCCGAGACAUCGCAUGCAAGGAACAGGGCAAAAGGGUACAUACGAGGAGGACGAGAUAAAACUAAAGUGCGAUGUUUCAACUGUAACGCUUACGGUCACUAUGCCGUGGAGUGCAAAAAAUCAAGACGAGAAAGGGAAGACACUGAUGAGGCUCACUUUGCCCAGAUACCUGACGAUGAACCGGCCUUACUUUUGGUUGAAAGGGAAAAGAAUGGUACGGUGAUCAACGAGGAACGAGUAAAACCGAAGUUGGGUCAAGGAGAAAACGAACAAAUGGAAUCAAAUUUGUGGUACUUGGACAAUGGUGCAAGCAACCACAUGACUGGCCAGUACUCGAAAUUUGAUAAACUUGACACAGGGAUAACAGGUCAGGUAAAAUUCGGUGAUGGCUCGAUGGUUCAAAUAAGAGGCAAGGGAUCAAUCACAUUGAGGUGCAAGAAUGGAGAAAACAGGACACUGACUGAGGUAUAUUAUAUUCCCUCACUUAGAAGUAAUAUAAUUAGUCUUGGACAACUCUCAGAGAAUGGAUAUAGAAUAUCUAUCAAGGGAGAGUAUCUCUGGGUUCAUGAAGAACAGGGUGCUUUGUUCAUGAAAGUCAAACGGUCUCCGAACAGAUUGUAUAAAAUCAUUAUCUACAGCGGCGAGACGAAGUGCUUGCUGUCGAGAGAUGAGAAUGAGAGUUGGCUGUGGCACUCUCGCCUAGGCCAUGUGAAUUUCAAGGCGAUGAAGCUCAUGUCCUCGACAAAUAUGGUCUGUGGAAUGCCAAAGAUAGAUCAACAACAUGAAGUUUGCACUGGAUGUUUGAUGUCAAAGCAAGUCAGAAAAUCAUUCCCUCAAAAAUCGAGCUUUUCAGCAAAGAAACCGCUUGAACUAAUCCACGGUGACCUGUGCGGACCGAUCACACCAUGUACUCCAGGAGGUAAUAAAUACAUACUUGUCUUGAUUGAUGAUUAUAGUCGUGUUAUGUGGACCUAUUUGUUGAAGAACAAAAGUGAUGCAUUUGAGGCUUUCAAAAAUUUUCGUGUGUUGGUUGAGAACACUCCUGAAAGGAAUAAAAUCAUGACUUUCAGAACAGACAACGGUGGAGAAUUCACUUCAAAAGAGUUUUCGAAGUAUUGCAAGGAAACUGGAAUUGUUAGACACUUCUCUGCACCCUAUUCGCCUCAGCAGAACGGCGUGGUUGAGCGACGUAAUAGAACACUACUUGAGAUGUCACGAAGCCUACUGAAGGAGAUGAACUUGCCAAAUCAUUUUUGGGGAGAGGCCGUGCGUCACUCCACUUACUUGAUCAAUAGACUACCCACACGUGCACUAACUGGAAUUACGCCAUACGAAGCCUGGUCGGGAAAGAAACCACAUGUUGAUCAUCUCCGUGUCUUUGGCUGUGUUGCCCACAUGAAACUGCCCGGUGUAAAUUUGAAAAAACUAGACAGCAGGAGCAAACCAGUUGUCUACCUUGGGAAAGAAUCGGGUACGAAAGCUUUCAGACUGUAUGACCCUGUGACUAAGACAAUUUCUGUGAGCCGAGAUGUAGAGUUUGAAGAAAGAAGAGCUUGGAAUUGGGUUAAAGAAAUGGAAGAAACACAGUCACCAGCCGGUACCUUCACUGUAUUUACAGGUGGUUUGGAUGAAGCAACCGAGAUCAAUGAAAAUGAUGCAUCGAGUUUGAAUGAAGAGUCGACACCAGACCCUGUACCGAGGCACUCAAACGCUGACGGUGGCUCAGGUAACUUUGUAAGCCAUAGUUCGACGAGUAGAUUCUCUGGAAGUGAAGCACACACACAGAGUUCUCAGACUUUGGCCAGACAAGCUUCGACAUCAACGCCAACUACAAACUCAACAAGCUCUGCAGAACAAUCUCGAAGGUACAGGGACUUGAGUGAUGUCUAUAAUGAAACUGUGCCGUUCGAGUUGGAAGAUGAAGAACUUUUCCUCAUGGGCGUAGAUGAACCAGCAAACUACACACAAGCAGUGAAAGAAAGUGAAUGGACAAAGGCAAUGGAGAUAGAAAUGGAUGCAGUAGAGAGAAACGGAACUUGGGUUCUGACAGAACUACCUCGAGACAGGAAACCCAUUGACUUGAAGUGGAUCUACAAAAUCAAACGAGAUGCAAACGGGAACAUUGUGAAGUACAAGGCCAGGAUCGUUGCCAAGGGAUAUGUUCAGAAGCAAGGCGUAGAUUAUGAUGAAGUUUUCGCUCCAGUCACACGUAUUGAGACCAUACGAUUGUUACUCGCAAUUGCAGCAAAAGAACAAUGGAAGGUGCACCAUCUGGACGUGAAGACGGCUUUUCUGAACGGAGAAAUUAAGGAAGAAGUCUACGUCAGACAGCCUGAAGGAUUUGUUAAGCAUGGGAAGGAACAUCUAGUUUAUAAGCUCAUAAAAGCACUGUACGGUCUUCGUCAAGCUCCAAGGGCCUGGUACUCCAAACUGAAUAAAUGCUUAGAAGAAUUGGGUUUUGUCAGGUGUGCAUACGAGCAAGCUGUGUACACAAAGAAAACAGGAGAGGGUGUACUUAUAGUCGGCGUAUAUGUCGACGACAUCUUGGUGACAGGUUCAAGCAUAAAGGAAAUUGAGGAGUUCAAGAGGAAGAUGGGACACAGGUUCGACAUGAGUGAUUUGGGGGAGCUAACGUACUAUCUAGGCAUUGAAGUCAUGCAAAGAAAUGGCUAUAUCCAGCUAAAACAGUCAGGGUACGCGAAGAAAAUCCUCAAUAAAGCUGGUAUGCUGCAGUGUAAUUCAGCAAAGAUUCCGAUGCACCCCAAAGAAGUCAUUAACAAAGAUGAAGAAGGAAUAGCAGUAGACCCUACAGCAUACAAGAGUAUGAUAGGAGGUUUGAGAUACUUGGUGCACACCAGACCUGAUCUGGCGUAUUCUGUGGGCAUUCUAAGCAGAUUCAUGGACAGACCCACACAGUUGCAUCAAGGUGCUGUAAAACGCAUACUCAGGUACGUAAAGGGAACGAUUGACUUCGGACUGGUAUACUCACAGGACAGUGACAAUGAAGUGCUGAUUGGAUAUUCCGACAGCGAUUUGGCUGGCAAUAUAGAGGACAGGAAGAGUACCGGAGGCAUGGUGUUCUACCUUAACAAGAGUUUGAUAACCUGGACAUCCCAGAAACAAAAAUGUGUCGCACUUUCUUCAUGCGAAGCUGAGUUCAUGGCAGCCACAGCUGCAGCUUGUCAAGCUGUUUGGUUAAGGAAAUUAUUAGCUCAGAUUACCAAGUAUGACAUUGGCCCAGUCACUCUCUUCAUUGAUAACAAGUCUGCGAUUGACUUGGCCAAAAAUCCGGUGUUUCAUGGGAGAAGCAAGCAUAUAGACAUUCGGUAUCACUUCAUACGUGAGUGUGUAGAGAACGGAGAAAUCACUGUAAAACAUGUACGAUCUGAGGAACAGCGUGCGGACCUACUCACAAAAGCCCUUGCAGCUGUAAAAUUCGAAAUCAUGAGAAACUUAAUUGGCGUGGUAAAGUGCAUUUAGACGAGUUUAGAUUAAGGGGGAGUUUGUUGGGUUUAUUAAUCUAAACUCGGUAUAAUUCCCCAGAAUCAUGGAUGCUGCUGGAUAUGGCAAGGUGACACAAUCGUUGGUGCAUGGCUGGAGAAUCUGCAGAAUCAUUAAGAGAAUAAAUCUUACGUUCAUUUAGGCUUAUCUUUGGCUCUAGUUUAUUUCUUUCCUACUUUCAUGGGAUAUCAUAUAUCUCUUUUCCUUUAUAUUGUAAUCGUCUUUCAUAAUAAUAAAGUGGUGGUUUCAGAGUAAACUUUGUUCUUCUCCUAGUACAAAUACAUUGCAGAUUGUAU
rnacentral:lncRNA from 1 species